UUCCGGUUGAUCCUGCCGGACCUGACUGCUAUCGGAUUGAUACUAAGCCAUGCGAGUCAUUGUAGUAAUACAAGGCAGACGGCUCAGUAACGCGUAGUCAACCUACCCUAUGGACGAGGAUAAUCUCGGGAAACUGAGGAUAAUACUCGAUAGACCAUUAUGCCUGGAACGGUUUAUGGUUAAAAUGAUUCGUCGCCAUAGGAUGGGACUGCGGCCUAUCAGCUUGUUGGUGAGGUAAUGGCCCACCAAGGCGAUUACAGGUACGGGCUCUGAGAGGAGAAGCCCGGAGAUGGGUACUGAGACAAGGACCCAGGCCCUAUGGGGCGCAGCAGGCGAGAAAACUUUGCAAUGUGCGAAAGCACGACAAGGUUAGUCCGAGUGAUUUCUGCUAAAGAAAUCUUUUGCAAGUUAUAAAACCACUAGUGAAUAAGGGGUGGGCAAGUUCUGGUGUCAGCCGCCGCGGUAAAACCAGCACCUCAAGUGGUCAGGAUGAUUAUUGGGCCUAAAGCAUCCGUAGCCUGCUCUGUUAGUUUUCGGUUAAAUCCAUGUGCUCAACACAUGGGCUGCCGAAAAUACUGCAGAGCUAGGGAGUGGGAGAGGUAGACGGUACUCAGUAGGAAGGGGUAAAAUCCUUUGAUCUAUUGAUGACCACCUGUGGCGAAGGCGGUCUACCAGAACACGUUCGACGGUGAGGGAUGAAAGCUGGGGGAGCAAACCGGAUUAGAUACCCGGGUAGUCCCAGCUGUAAACGAUGCAGACUCGAUGAUGCAUUGGCUUAUUGCCAAUGCAGUGUCGCAGGGAAGCCGUUAAGUCUGCCGCCUGGGAAGUACGUACGCAAGUAUGAAACUUAAAGGAAUUGGCGGGGGAGCACCACAAGGGGUGAAGCCUGCGGUUCAAUUGGAUUCAACGCCGGG
rnacentral:rRNA from 1 species